AUCUGUUCUUAUCAGUUUCAUAGCUGAUAUGUCCCGCAAUGCGGGACUAGUCUAUUAAAUGGAUUUUUGGUAUCGGGAGUUGGAUUAGGGGCUUGCUCCGUCCGCUCCACACAGACCCGGUAUUGCAGUACUGAUACAAGCUUCUUGA
rnacentral:snRNA from 1 species